AGGUGAAAUUCCUUUUGGGAACUCCCAAACUAGCAAUGACUGCUCUGAAGAAAACAUUGAACUUCUCGUCAUGAACAACACUGAUUCUCUCAACACUGGUGACUCUAUCAGCAGCACUAAACCUGAUGAAGAUUCUCAGUCUGCUUCAUCUUCUGUUGUCUCAUAAAUGACUGGUGUCUUUAUCAGUUACAUGACAGAAAAAAGUGAGUUUUGGCUUUUAUGUCUGUAUGGUAAAUUCUUGGGGAAUACGUAUUACCUCAAACUUUAAAGGUCAAUUUUAUCUUUUGUAAUAGAGUGUUGUUCCCCUUUCGCCAUAUCCCUUCAGGGGAAUCAAGUUUAAUUGAUUCCAGGUGGUUUGGUAGAGAUGUUCUUAUGGCCGUCCUGUCACAACCCUUUAUUUUAUCCAGAGACCCAGAUUUGGGCGCUCUUGUGGCUACAUAGUUAGGGAGAAGCGUGAAGAGUCUUGCCUAUAAGGACCCAAAGAAUUCAUCCUUAUGAAUAUAUACACACCAUAUGAAUGUGCUCAGAACGAGGAUGAGUUUUUAAGUAAGCUUGGUUUGAUUGAUUCAUUUAUACAAGACAGUCCUUCUACUAGUAUAUAUGUUGUUGGGGUUAUGAAUGCUGAUGUUACAGACCGUGGGUCUAUUUUUGCCAGCUAUUUGUUUUAAUAAUAAUCUUACUUUUUCAAGUGAGAUGCUUUUACCUCCUGAUAGUUUUACUUAUAUAAGUGAGGCCUGGCAUACCACGUCAUGGUUGGAUCACUGUUUUAGCACUGCUGAUGCACACAACUCUGAGUAUGAUGAGCAUUUUAUACGGGGAAAGUAUGUCUGACCAUUUUCCCUUUACAUUGUCAAUUAAUUGUGAGCACUUACCUGCUCUAACAAG